AGUGCUUGUGGUGGAGACUAGAUUCAUCUCUUUGUUGUUAGGUCAGGGUGGGGGAGAUGGCGUUUGGAAGGAAUGUGUGGAAAGAAGGAGAAAGAGUGAAUUUAACGUUUCACAACAAUCUCCAAUGAAAGCCACCACAAGACAUGCCAGCACUGCCAGAUGGAUUGGAUAGAGGAGAUACACAGACCUUCACCGUGGGAUGCUCAUGGCAGCCAAGGCAUGGCAAGGCAUGGAAGGAAACAGCAAAACACAGAGGUCUCAGCAAUUUCAGCACAGAAAUAAUUACAGUCCCCAGACCUCCACAUGAACACUUUGGGCUCACACUCAUGUACAAACAGCAGCAAAAGAGUAUUAUUAAGGCUGAAAAGCCAGUAUGUGCGUGGUGAAGAACACCAGGAUUAGAGCUGCAUUUGCAAUCCAAAGGAGACAAGUUUCCUACAACAUGAACCUGGCUUCACUACUUAGAGGUCAUUUUCCUGUGUUUUACACUUUACUGCCUCUUCCCAUUCCUUUAGUCUCUCCUGUCCCUUCCCACAUUUUAGGCAAAUGCUGCAUCUUAAGAGGCAGAAAAGGGAGUAAUUGUGCCAUUGCAAAAGUGAGGUCAGUUAUUUGAGAAGCUGUGGCAGGUAAUGUCAACAAUUCUAUUUAUUAUUGGAUUUUACAGAUAUAAUUAACUUGUGCUUUACCCCAGCAAUACGUAGAUUUCCCUGUCACUUAAAGCAAGGCCAUAAAACAAAUAAGAAUUGUACGGAGAGGUUAACAGUGAUAUUGACUUGAU
rnacentral:lncRNA from 1 species